GCUUUUCCCCAGAAGCAAAUAUGUCAUUCUCUGUGUAGACUCCAACAGCUAAUCCAGCAGCAUAAGCUGCCCCAAGAGCUGUUGUUUCUAUAUCAGCUGGUCUUACAACUGAACUACCCAACAAGUCAGCCUGAAUUUGCAUCAAAAGGUUGUUGAUUGUAGCACCACCAUCCACACGGAGUAAGAAUUCUGUUUUGUCACUCUUAGCUUCAU
rnacentral:misc_RNA from 1 species